UGCCAGGUUUUUUUGUAGCCAUAAGUACACAAACCACAAUCGGAGCAUGUUCUGUUAAAGUGUUUCUCAUGCAUCGACUCUCCUGAUUUAGUCUUAUUCUAAAACUGAGGCCGGGUUGAUUCAGUCUGACCAGUGUCAGCAGGUGGAUAUUGAAAUGUUCAACUAUGAUGGUGAGUAUGUUUUAUUGAAGUUUAAAGCUGGUUUGUAUGAAAUGUCCUUGUGAUGUAAUCCUGCUGUUCUCUGUUUUGAGGUUUAACUCCAUUGCAUGCAGCUGUCUUGUCUCACAAGGCUGUGGUUAAAGAGCUGAGGACUCUGGGGAAUCUGUGCUCAUAUAUGGCAAAGGAGCUAGCGCAGAGGGCACACACACAUACAUCAAGACUCUCCUGCUUACGGGAGCCUCCAGUGGGACGAAGGAUCAAAAAAGUGGAAGGACGUGUCUUCACAUGGCUGCCAAGGAGGUAAACGUGGAGCUGUUCAACAUUUUCCUGGACCAGCCGCAGUCAGCUUUAAAUGUUAAUGUGGUGUUUUCAAAAACACUUCAUAUAAUUUGUAAAGUUAAAAUACUGCUUGCAGCACCUUUCAGGUGACUUGUAAUGUUUGUUUAUUUGACACUGUUCAUAAAGUUAUUUGAAUGUAUCACUUCCUGUCAAUCUUGCAUCACUUCCUGUCAUGCUGUUAGAAAAUUGUAGAAACUCAAGGAGGCCACAUGUUUAGGCACUGUUAGGAGCCAUUUGCAUCUGCAUGAAAAGACUGAUCAAUCAAUGUCGACUGCGAGGACAUUCACCUGACAUCAAUGAAGACGGUGGCUUCUUGAGUUUCUGAAGAAGCCACUAUACCAUACGCGUAGCUGUAAAAAAAGCUGGAAAAUGAUCUGGAAAAUCUGUCACAGCAGCCAGUGAAUGUAGCGUAUUGACUGCGAGGACACUCAUCUGACAUCAACGAAGACGGUGGCUUCUUGAGAUCCUGAAGAACUUACGGACUGCGAGGACAUUCAUCUGACAUCAAAAGACGGUGGAUUCUUGAGUUUCUGAAGGACUUACGGUACUAUACUAUGACUUUUCUGAU